rnacentral:rRNA from 1 species
UACGGGGGGAGCAAGCGUUGUUCGGAUUUACUGGGCGUAAAGGGCGCGUAGGCGGCCAGCACAAGUCAGUUGUGAAAUCUCCGGGCUUAACUCGGAAAGGUCAACUGAUACUGUGCGGCUAGAGUGCGGAAGGGGCAACUGGAAUUCUCGGUGUAGCGGUGAAAUGCGUAGAUAUCGAGAGGAACACCUGCGGCGAAGGC